rnacentral:lncRNA from 1 species
UGUUUUCUUUUAUUUUUAAAUGGCGCAGAUAUGGUGGACAACAGUGAAACCACAGACAGAUAAAGAUUUGAUAUUAAUGAGAGAUUGGGGACAACAAAAGGGGCAAUCUGCUGGAAAACACAAGACAGAAUGGGAUUCAGAUCACAGGGAAAUAUGA